rnacentral:rRNA from 1 species
AGUGAACGCUGGCGGUAGGCCUAACACAUGCAAGUCGAACGGCAGCACAGUAAGAGCUUGCUCUUACGGGUGGCGAGUGGCGGACGGGUGAGGAAUACAUCGGAAUCUACUUUUUCGUGGGGGAUAACGUAGGGAAACUUACGCUAAUACCGCAUACGACCUACGGGUGAAAGCAGGGGAUCUUCGGACCUUGCGCGAUUGAAUGAGCCGAUGUCGGAUUAGCUAGUUGGCGGGGUAAAGGCCCACCAAGGCGACGAUCCGUAGCUGGUCUGAGAGGAUGAUCAGCCACACUGAAACUGAGACACGGUCCAGACUCCUACGGGAGGCAGAAGUGGGAAAUAUUGGACAAUGGGCGCAAGCCUGAUCCAGCCAGACCGCGGGGGUGAAGAAGGCCUUCGGGUGGUAAAGCCCUUUUGUUGGGAAAGAAAAGCAGCAGGUUAAUACCCCGCUGUUCUGACGGUACCAAAAGAAUAAGCACCGGCUAACUUCGU